rnacentral:rRNA from 1 species
GAUGAACGCUGACAGAAUGCUUAACACAUGCAAGUCGAUUCAAUUUACCUUCGGGUAUUGAGGAUGGCGGACGGGUGAGUAACGCGUAAGGAACUUGCCUCUUGGUCUGGGACAACUGUUGGAAACGACAGCUAAUACCGGAUAUUAUGAGAUUCUCGCAUGGGAAACUUAUGAAAGCUAUAUGCGCCAAGAGAGAGCCUUGCGUUCCAUUAGCUAGUUGGUGGGGUAACGGCCCACCAAGGCGACGAUGGAUAGCCGGCCUGAGAGGGUGAACGGCCACAAGGGGACUGAGACACGGCCCUUACUCCUACGGGAGGCAGCAGUGGGGAAUAUUGGACAAUGGGCCACAAGCCUGAUCCAGCAAUUCUGUGUGCACGAUGAAGGUCUUCGGAUUGUAAAGUGCUUUCAGUUGGGAAGAAGAAAGUGACGGUACCAACAGAAGAAGCGACGGCUAAAUACGUGCCAGCAGCCGCGGUAAUACGUAUGUCGCAAGCGUUAUCCGGAUUUAUUGGGCGUNNNCGCGUCUGGGCGGAAAAAUAAGUCUGAUGUUAAAAUGCGGGGCUCAACUCCGUAUUGCNUUGGAAACUGUUUUUCUAGAGUACUGGAGAGGUGGGCGGAACUACAAGUGUAGAGGUGAAAUUCNUA